UACGUAGGGUGCAAGCGUUAAUCGGAGUUACUGGGCGUAAAGCGUGCGCAGGCGGUUUUGUAAGUCUGUCGUGAAAGCCCCGGGCUCAACCUGGGAAUUGCGAUGGAGACUGCAAGGCCUGAAUCUGGCAGAGGGGGGUAGAAUUCCACGUGUAGCAGUGAAAUGCGUAGAGAUGUGGAGGAACACCGAUGGCGAAGGCAGCCCCCUGGGUCAAGAUUGACGCUCAUGCACGAAAGCGUGGGGAGCAAACAGG
rnacentral:rRNA from 1 species